CUGGAGGUAUCAGAAGUGCGAAUGCUGACAUAAGUAACGAUAAAGCGGGUGAAAAGCCCGCUCGCCGGAAGACCAAGGGUUCCUGUCCAACGUUAAUCGGGGCAGGGUGAGUCGACCCCUAAGGCGAGGCCGAAAGGCGUAGUCGAUGGGAAACAGGUUAAUAUUCCUGUACUUGGUGUUACUGCGAAGGGGGGACGGAGAAGGCUAUGUUGGCCGGGCGACGGUUGUCCCGGUUUAAGCGUGUAGGCUGGUUUUCCAGGCAAAUCCGGAAAAUCAAGGCUGAGGCGUGAUGACGAGGCACUACGGUGCUGAAGCAACAAAUGCCCUGCUUCCAGGAAAAGCCUCUAAGCAUCAGGUAACAUCAAAUCGUACCCCAAACCGACACAGGUGGUCAGGUAGAGAAUACCAAGGCGCUUGAGAGAACUCGGGUGAAGGAACUAGGCAAAAUGGUGCCGUAACUUCGGGAGAAGGCACGCUGAUAUGUAGGUGAAGCGACUUGCUCGUGGAGCUGAAAUCAGUCGAAGAUACCAGCUGGCUGCAACUGUUUAUUAAAAACACAGCACUGUGCAAACACGAAAGUGGACGUAUACGGUGUGACGCCUGCCCGGUGCCGGAAGGUUAAUUGAUGGGGUUAGCCGCAAGGCGAAGCUCUUGAUCGAAGCCCCGGUAAACGGCGGCCGUAACUAUAACGGUCCUAAGGUAGCGAAAUUCCUUGUCGGGUAAGUUCCGACCUGCACGAAUGGCGUAAUGAUGGCCAGGCUGUCUCCACCCGAGACUCAGUGAAAUUGAACUCGCUGUGAAGAUGCAGUGUACCCGCGGCAAGACGGAAAGACCCCGUGAACCUUUACUAUAGCUUGACACUGAACAUUGAGCCUUGAUGUGUAGGAUAGGUGGGAGGCUUUGAAGUGUGGACGCCAGUCUGCAUGGAGCCGACCUUGAAAUACCACCCUUUAAUGUUUGAUGUUCUAACGUUGACCCGUAAUCCGGGUUGCGGACAGUGUCUGGUGGGUAGUUUGACUGGGGCGGUCUCCUCCUAAAGAGUAACGGAGGAGCACGAAGGUUGGCUAAUCCUGGUCGGACAUCAGGAGGUUAGUGCAAUGGCAUAAGCCAGCUUGACUGCGAGCGUGACGGCGCGAGCAGGUGCGAAAGCAGGUCAUAGUGAUCCGGUGGUUCUGAAUGGAAGGGCCAUCGCUCAACGGAUAAAAGGUACUCCGGGGAUAACAGGCUGAUACCGCCCAAGAGUUCAUAUCGACGGCGGUGUUUGGCACCUCGAUGUCGGCUCAUCACAUCCUGGGGCUGAAGUAGGUCCCAAGGGUAUGGCUGUUCGCCAUUUAAAGUGGUACGCGAGCUGGGUUUAGAACGUCGUGAGACAGUUCGGUCCCUAUCUGCCGUGGGCGCUGGAGAACUGAGGGGGGCUGCUCCUAGUACGAGAGGACCGGAGUGGACGCAUCACUGGUGUUCGGGUUGUCAUGCCAAUGGCACUGCCCGGUAGCUAAAUGCGGAAGAGAUAAGUGCUGAAAGCAUCUAAGCACGAAACUUGCCCCGAGAUGAGUUCUCCCUGACUCCUUGAGAGUCCUGAAGGAACGUUGAAGACGACGACGUUGAUAGGCCGGGUGUGUAAGCGCAGCGAUGCGUUGAGCUAACCGGUACUAAUGAACCGUGAG
rnacentral:rRNA from 1 species